AACGAACGCUGGCGGCAGGCCUAACACAUGCAAGUCGAGCGAGGACUUCGGUCCUAGCGGCGGACGGGUGAGUAACGCGUGGGAACGUGCCCUUUGCUACGGAAUAGCCCCGGGAAACUGGGAGUAAUACCGUAUGUGCCCUUUGGGGGGAAGAUUUAUCGGCAAAGGAUCGGCCCGCGUUGGAUUAGGUAGUUGGUGGGGUAAUGGCCUACCAAGCCGACGAUCCAUAGCUGGUUUGAGAGGAUGAUCAGCCACACUGGGACUGAGACACGGCCCAGACUCCUAGGGGAGGAAGCAGUGGGGAAUCUUAGACAAUGGGCGCAAGCCUGAUCUAGCCAUGCCGGGUGAGAGAUGAAGGCCUUAGGGUUGUAAAGCUCUUUCAGUGGGGAAGAUAAUGACGGUACCCACAGAAGAAGCCCCGGCUACCUCCGUGCCAGCAGCCGCGGUAACAC
rnacentral:rRNA from 1 species